AGUGAACGCUGGCGGUAGGCCUAACACAUGCAAGUCGAACGGCAGCACAGUAAGAGCUUGCUCUUACGGGUGGCGAGUGGCGGACGGGUGAGGAAUACAUCGGAAUCUACUUUUUCGUGGGGGAUAACGUAGGGAAACUUACGCUAAUACCGCAUACGACCUACGGGUGAAAGCAGGGGAUCUUCGGACCUUGCGCGAUUGAAUGAGCCGAUGUCGGAUUAGCUAGUUGGCGGGGUAAAGGCCCACCAAGGCGACGAUCCGUAGCUGGUCUGAGAGGAUGAUCAGCCACACUGGAACUGAGACACGGCCCAGCACCCUACGGGGGGCAGCAGGGGGGAAUAUGGGACAAGGGGCGCAAGCCUGACCCAGCCAUACCGCGUGGGUGAAGAAGGCCUUCGGGUUGUAAAGCCCUUUUGUUGGGAAAAAAAAGCAGCAGGUUAAUACCCCGCUGUUCUGACGGUACCCAAAGAAUAAGCACCGGCUAACUUCGU
rnacentral:rRNA from 1 species